GGGUUGUGAGGUUAAGCGACUAAGCGUACACGGUGGAUGCCCUGGCAGUCAGAGGCGAUGAAGGACGUGCUAAUCUGCGAAAAGCGUCGGUAAGGUGAUAUGAACCGUUACAGCCGGCGAUGUCCGAAUGGGGAAACCCAGUGCAAUUCGUUGCACUAUCGUUUGAUGAAUACAUAGUCAAACGAGGCGAACCGGGGGAACUGAAACAUCUAAGUACCCCGAGGAAAAGAAAUCAACCGAGAUUCCCCCAGUAGCGGCGAGCGAACGGGGAGCAGCCCGGAGUCUGAAUCAGCUUGUGUGUUAGUGGAAGCGUCUGGAAAGUCGCAGGGUACAGGGUGAUACUCCCGUACACUAAAACGCACAGGUUGUGAACUCGAAGAGUAGGGCGGGACACGUGGUAUCCUGUCUGAAUAUGGGGGGACCAUCCUCCAAGGCUAAAUACUCCUGACUGACCGAUAGUGAACCAGUACCGUGAGGGAAAGGCGAAAAGAACCCCGGCGAGGGGAGUGAAAAAGAACCUGAAACCGUGUACGUACAAGCAGUAGGAGCCCACUGGUUGGGUGACUGCGUACCUUUUGUAUAAUGGGUCAGCGACUUAUAUUCUGUAGCAAGGUUAACCGUAUAGGGGAGCCGCAGGGAAACCGAGUCUUAACUGGGCGUUAAGUUGCAGGGUAUAGACCCGAAA
rnacentral:rRNA from 1 species